CCGAAACUCGAUAUAAUUCAGA
rnacentral:miRNA from 1 species